AUUGAACGCUGGCGGCAGGCCUAACACAUGCAAGUCGAGCGGAUGAAGGGAGCUUGCUCCUGGACUCAGCGGCGGACGGGUGGGUAAUGCCUAGGAAUCUGCCAGGUAGGGUGGGAACACGUCCGGAAACGGGCGCUAAUACCGAAUACGUCCUGAGGGCGAAAAAGGGGGAUCUUCGGACCUAACGCCAUCAUAUGAGGCUAGGUCGGCUUCGCUAGUUGGAGGGGUAAAGGCCUACAAAGGCGACGAUCCGUAACUGGUCUGAGAGGAUGAUCAGUCACACUGGAACUGAGACACGGUCCAGACUCCUACAGGGGGCAGCAGUGGGGAAUAUUGGACGAUGCGCGAAUGCCGGAUCCAGCCAUGCCGCGUGUGUGAAGAAGGUCUUCGGAUUGUAAAGCACUUUAAGUUGGAGGGAAGGACAGUAAGUUAAUACCUUGCUGUUUUGACGUUACCAACAGAAUAAGCACCGGCUAACUUCGUG
rnacentral:rRNA from 1 species